rnacentral:rRNA from 1 species
CAGCAGCCGCGGUAAUACGUAGGUGGCAAGCGUUGUCCGGAAUUAUUGGGCGUAAAGGGCUCGCAGGCGGUUUCUUAAGUCUGAUGUGAAAGCCCCCGGCUCAACCGGGGAGGGUCAUUGGAAACUGGGAAACUUGAGUGCAGAAGAGGAGAGUGGAAUUCCACGUGUAGCGGUGAAAUGCGUAGAGAUGUGGAGGAACACCAGUGGCGAAGGCGACUCUCUGGUCUGUAACUGACGCUGAGGAGCGAAAGCGUGGGGAGCGAACAGGAUUAGAUACCCCGGUAGUCCCUGUCUCUUAUCU